rnacentral:rRNA from 1 species
UACGUAGGGGGCAAGCGUUAUCCGGAUUUACUGGGUGUAAAGGGAGCGUAGACGGCAGCGCAAGUCUGAAGUGAAAUGCCGGGGCCCAACCCCGGAACUGCUUUGGAAACUGUAGUGCUAGAGUGUCGGAGAGGCAAGUGGAAUUCCUAGUGUAGCGGUGAAAUGCGUAGAUAUUAGGAGGAACACCAGUGGCGAAGGCGGCUUGCUGGACAGCAACUGACGGUGAGGCGCGAAAGCGUGGGGAGCAA